rnacentral:rRNA from 1 species
CAGGCCUAACACAUGCAAGUCGAACGAAGGCUUCGGCCUUAGUGGCGCACGGGUGCGUAACGCGUGGGAAUCUGCCCCUCGGUUCGGAAUAACAGUUAGAAAUGACUGCUAAUACCGGAUGAUGACGUAAGUCCAAAGAUUUAUCGCCGAGGGAUGAGCCCGCGUAGGAUUAGCUAGUUGGUGUGGUAAAGGCGCACCAAGGCGACGAUCCUUAGCUGGUCUGAGAGGAUGAUCAGCCACACUGGGACUGAGACACGGCCCAGACUCCUACGGGAGGCAGCAGUGGGGAAUAUUGGACAAUGGGCGAAAGCCUGAUCCAGCAAUGCCGCGUGAGUGAUGAAGGCCUUAGGGUUGUAAAGCUCUUUCGACGGGGACGAUAAUGACGGUACCCGUAGAAGAAGCCCCGGCUAACUUCGUGCCAGCAGCCGCGGUAAU